UUCCGUAGGAUACCUGCGGAAGGAUCAUUA
rnacentral:rRNA from 1 species